GCUGAUGUCUGGAACGCCAUCUGAUUGGUGGCGCUUGUUACCAUGGUCCUGCGUAAAACAGAAGUUGUGAUUUAUUUACAGAGGCAAUUGCUUGCCUUUCCCACAUUUUCCUGCUAUCCUAAACAGCUUCAGACUGUUGCUGGCGACGGUAACGUUACUUUAUGGCUUUCUUCGGGAUAACGAAUUUGGGCUAUCAAAACCCCAUCGGAGACCAUAUGUUAUUGAGUCCGAGAUCGUCUGCUUCUCCUGGUGAUGAGGUGGAUUCAAGGAGCUGGGCUAAACAGUCAGGACUGCCCUCCAUCCAAGUCCAGAGGGGACCCCCACAAUGCACUGAUACCCCCUUCAGCCCAGACAUACACCAAGGUAGCCAGGGGCGAUACAAAGAGAUGCUCAAACGGGUUCAGAUACCAAGAUCCCCGAAUCAGCUGUACUCAGUGCCCCUGACAGACAGCCAGCAGUGUGGAUGGUGGAUGUCUAAUGGAGGCCAAGGAAAGAUGCAUGAACCCUGGACCCAAGUCAGACGAUUCCCCCGCAAGAACAGUGAGAUGACCAAGUUUGUGAAAGAGAUGUCAAUGACGGACCGAGAGUUCAGCUUAUUCUGAUUUCCACUCCUGCAGUAACAUACACACACACACACACACACACACAAUCCCAUCCAAAGACCUCUGGGACCUUUACACU
rnacentral:lncRNA from 1 species